CCUAAACAAAGCUUCAACUGUAAUUGGUAGACAUAAAAUUGGAGGAGGGCACAGGAAGUGAUGUAAUAGAAAGUGUCUUUAAAAGGGAGUUACAGCUUCCUGUGGGAAUUUCUUCUUUGAAGAGUUCUUCAAGAGUUCUUCAGGCUUGGGACUUCUAACUUUUUCUGGGAGUUCUGGAGUUCUUCAUGCUUGGGACUUCUGACUGCUCUCAUUCUUUGGAGUUCUGAGUUCCAGUUGGAGGCUGGUGAAGAAUCUGUUGACUGGACCUGAGACCCUAUACCUGAGAAACAGCUGUGGAACAUAAAGAAUUCUUCAAGUCAGUUCAAGAAGUAUUUAACUGCUUCCAGCUCCAGGUUAUUUCCAGAGUUCUAUGGAACAGAGGUAAGGAGAGACUGACUAUGUGUGAGGCCACCAGUGCGAAAGCAUGGAGAUAAUGAAUGGAGUUCCAAGUAUGAAGAAAGAAGGCCAGGUUGGUUGCAACACAUAUAUGGUCUAAUGUGAAUGGAAAGAUAGUUUGGAGCCAGGUUGUAAAGGCCCUUAAAAACCACACAGAGGAGUUUUAUUUUAUCAUAGGGGUAAUAGAAAACCACUGAAAUUGAUUAGGAGAGUUGAAUAGCCAGAUCUGCACUUAAAGAAAAUUACUUUGGCAGCAGUGUGUAGGACUGACAGACUGUAAUAGGAACAGACUUGAGGCAUGGAGACCAAUUAGGAGGCUGUUGUAAUAAUCUAGAUGAGAGAUAAUGAAGGCCUGAACUAAAGUAUUAGUGUGAAGAUAGGAUUAACUCUUUCCUUGUCUAUUUUUAGCUAGUCAAAUCAAGAACUUGAAGUAUCCCUACUUACCAUUAAGUAUAAGAAUUCACAGAGUCACUUACUAGAGUAAGCUCACACCUCCAAAGGCCACUGCCCCUCUCCCCCUUGGGCAGUGCUAGGCAAAUUGAAAGACUGCCUUUGGUUUUUGUGAAGGAGGAGUGACAGGAAGUCACAGGAAAAAAAGCAUAAAAAGAAGAGACCAGCACGGUCUAGCAUUCAUUCCCUUUCUGGCUUUUAGAGAGAUUGGUUCCAGAGAUUCCUUUCCUGACUUGAUUAAAGACUGCAAAGAUGAUGGCACCUUCAGUAGAAAUUGGGAAGUUUAGAAGAAAGGAGGAUAUAGAGGAAAAGAUGAUGAAGUUUAGUUUGGGUAUGUUGAGUCUUAGAUGUCUCCAGGACAUUUAGUUUAAAAUGUCCAGGAGGAAAUUGGUGACGAGGACCUGAAGCUCAAGUGAAGAGACUAGGAAUAAGUAUAUAUGAUUUACACACACACAUACAUACAUGUGUAUAUAUAUUAUACACACGUGUAGGUAAAUAAUUUGUAUGUGUAUAUGUGUAUAUAUUUAUACAUAUACACAGAGGUGUUCCAAAAGUCUUAGUGUAAUUUAGCCACACACACAUAUUUGUGAGUCAUUUGCAUAUAAGAUAAUGGUUAAUGUAAUCAAUUUUCCAAGAGAGAAAAUGUAGAGGAAGAAGAGAAGAAUGACUGGUAUAGAAUCUGGAGGAAUACAUGAUAUAAAUGAUGAGUCAGGAAAUGAAGCUGAAAAGGAAGGGUCAGACAGACAGAUAGGAAGAAGACCAGAAGAGAAUAGUGUGUCAAAAAUCCAUAGAGGAAACAAUUUCCAGAAGUGUCAACAGUGUAAGAUGCAUCAUUUAGUUCAAGAAGGAUAAGAACUGAGAAAAGUCAGUUAAAUCAGUCAAUUAAGAGCUCAAUGAUACCUAUUGAAAGCAGGCUUAGUUGAAUCUAGUUAUCAAAGGAUUGAGGAAUGAAAGAAAGAAAAUACAAUGGAGGUAGCAAAUGCAGACAGCUUUGUCAAAGGAUUUAGCUGAGGAAAAGAAGAGAGAUACAGGAUAGCCAUUUGAAUCGAUGGUAUGGAGCAGCUAGGUGUCACAGUAGAUAGAAUUAGUGUCAGGCCUGGAGUCAGGAAGACUCAUCUUCCUGAGUUCCAAUCUGGCUUCAAAUACUUACUAGCUGUGUGAACCUGGGCAAGCCACUUCCCUGUUUCUCUCAUCUGUAAAAUGAACUAGAGAAGAAAAUGGCAAACCAUUCCAACAUCUUUGCCAAGAAAACCCCAAAUGGGGAUACAAAGAGUCAGACACGACUGAAUAACAACAACAGAGAAUAGUAUAUGGUUUUGUUUUUUGCUUAAUAUGGGGGAUACUAGAGUAUAUUGGAAGGCAGGAAGGAAGCAGAAGAUCGGGAAAAGUUGAAGAGCUGAGGAGAGGUGAUGGUUGAGAAUAAAUUCAGCUAGAGUAAAGGGAAGAGAAGGAAUUGGCUUUGGUAGAGAGAAGAGUCUUGGGGUAAAGGAGAGUAGGAAAUACUGUCAAGUUAUUUUUAGAUGCAGAGAAGGGGAGAAAUGGCCACUAUGAAAUGGCUUUAAUUUUCUCACUAAAGUAAGAGGCAGGUGAGAGAGGGGGGAAGGGAAGCAUAGGAAUAUUGAGAAAGGAAGUGGAGUUUUGGAACAGCUUCUGUGGGGAAUGAGAUGGGAAAUAAAAGGACUAUUUUGGUGCAAUGAGAUCCCAGUUGGGGUCAUAUAGCAGGUAUUUGCAAGCCCUCUUUCAACUGUGUUCAGCUCAUGAGUAGGAAUGGAGGAGGUAGAUAGUAACAAUAAUCCAGGCCUGAGAUUUGGUAAGAGAUGAACAAAUAGUAUAGGGAUUCAAAGUAUUUGAGAGCAGAGCAAAGAAUAGCAUAGAACCGAAAUGAUUAGCCAUUGAUGAAGCAAAAUUGAAGAGGUAAAAAAAUAAAGUCAUUGAAGGGGCAAUGACCCUAAGAAAGUGCAAUGUUCUC